GACCUGGUAGCACAAUGGUUAGUGCCUCUGCCCAACUUUGAGUGAAACUGAUGGUUCGGCAGAUGAUCCCUGUUCAAUUCGGGGUCAGGUCA